rnacentral:rRNA from 1 species
AGCGAACGCUGGCGGCAGGCCUAACACAUGCAAGUCGAACGAACCCUUCGGGGUUAGUGGCGGACGGGUGAGUAACACGUGGGAACGUGCCUUUAGGUUCGGAAUAACUCAGGGAAACUUGUGCUAAUACCGAAUGUGCCCUUCGGGGGAAAGAUUUAUCGCCUUUAGAGAGGCCCGCGUCUGACUAGCUAGUUUGUGAGGUAAUGGCUCACCAAGGCUACGAUCAGUUGCUGGUCUGGGAGGAUGACCAGCCACAUUGGGAGUGGAGACACGGCCCAAACUCCGACGGGAGGCAGCAGUGGGGAAUCUUGCGCAAUGGGCGAAAGCCUGACGCAGCCAUGCCGCGUGGAUGAUGAAGGUCUUAGGAUUGUAAAAUCCUUUCACCGGUGAAGAUAAUGACUGUAGCCGGAGAAGAAGCCCCGGCUAACUUCGUGCCAGCCGCCGCCGUAAUAC